rnacentral:rRNA from 1 species
GUAGGGAAUAUUGGACAAUGGGGGCAACCCUGAUCCAGCGACGCCGCGUGAGUGACGAAGGCCUUCGGGUCGUAAAGCUCUGUUGCAAGGGAAAAACAAAAUGAUGGUACCUUGCUAGAAAGGAUCGGCUAACUUCGUGCCAGCAGCCGCGGUAAGACGAGGGAUCCUAGCGUUGUUCGGAAUUCUUGGGCGUAAAGCGGGUGUAGGUGGCUUUGUAAGUCAGGUGUGAAAGCCUGGGGCUUAACCCCAGAAGUGCAUUUGAUACUGCGAAGCUUGAGUGCUGGAGAGGCUACUAGAAUUCUUGGUGUAGUGGUGAAAUACGUAGAUAUCAAGAGGAAUACCGGAGGCGAAGGCGGGUAGCUGGCCAGACACUGACACUCAGACCCGAAAGCGUGGGGAUCAAACAGGAUUAGAUACCCGGGUAGUCC